rnacentral:lncRNA from 1 species
GAGGGCGGGGACCGCUGCGCCUACCUGCCUUUCCCUCCAUAGGGACUUCCCAAAGGAAAGGAGGGCGUUUAGGGGCUUUCACACGCCUGAUCUUAAACACAGCGCCCUGACCCCUCCCCACCAAAAACGGCAAAAUGUCAUUUUUGGGGGCAAAUCUAAGGUUUUCCCUACAAUUGUUCAAGCUUUCACACUAAAACAUUUACCUAAAAACGGGCAGAAAUUCAGCCUUAAACCCACAAAUCUCACGAUGGUAUAGACCCUGGGCCCACUCAGGUUUCCUGAAAACUAAACAGUUCUGGAGUUAGGGGUUUGGAGAACGGGCUAUUGUUAAAGAAAAAAGUAUUUAGUGACACUUGUUAAAGCACAAAAAGAGGGCUUUAUUCAGGACCAUCGCAACAGGUAUAGGGACCACUGACUGCAAUGGAGACUUGCAGUAGGGAAAGAGAUAUUGGGCUCAACUCCUCAUACAGCAUGGGCAAGUGGAGAUUUAUAGCCAAGGAGCGGUGACAGGCCAAGAUAAUGAGGCAUCACCUGGGGGAUGGUGGAGACUGAAGAACCUGAUCAGAUAUUGAGGAUGAUCAGCUAUCAAGGAUGGGGGUUUAUUGCUAAUCUGACUUAGCAAAGUUCUUUGCUUAAACUGGAUUUUACAAAGAAAGUGUACAGAAGAGCCUAGCAGAAGAUUCAGAAACCUGACUAAAGUUGGCCAAGCAAAAAAAAAAAUCUUUGUAUCUGAAGGGAUAUGUUAUCCUCUUCAGUUGUACCACCAUCUCCACUUUAAUAAAAAAAAAUUUUCUUUC